rnacentral:rRNA from 1 species
UACGUAGGGUGCGAGCGUUGUCCGGAAUUACUGGGCGUAAAGAGCUCGUAGGCGGCUUGUCGCGUUGUUCGUGAAAAUUUACCGCUCAACGGUGAACUUGCGGGCGAUACGGGCAGGCUAGAGUACUGCAGGGGAGACUGGAAUUCCUGGUGUAGCGGUGAAAUGCGCAGAUAUCAGGAGGAACACCGGUGGCGAAGGCGGGUCUCUGGGCAGUAACUGACGCUGAGGAGCGAAAGCAUGGGUAGCGAACAGG